AUUGAACGCUGGCGGCAGGCCUAACACAUGCAAGUCGAACGAGUGGCGGACGGGUGAGUAAUGUCUGGGAAACUGCCCGAUGGAGGGGGAUAACUACUGGAAACGGUAGCUAAUACCGCAUACCAUCGGAUGUGCCCAGAUGGGAGUAGCUAGUAGGUGGGGUAACGGCUCACCUAGGCGACGAUCCCUAGCUGGUCUGAGAGGAUGACCAGCGACACUGCAACUGAGGCACGGUCCAGACUCCUACGGUAGGAAGCAGUGGGGAAUAGUGCACAAUGGGCGCAAGCCUGAAUGAGCCAUGCCGCGUGUAUGAAGAAGGCCUUCGGGUUGUAAAGUACUUUCAGCGUGGAGGCGUUACUCGCAGAAGAAGCACCGGCUAACUCCGUGCCAGCAGCCGCGGUAAUAC
rnacentral:rRNA from 1 species